GAAUAGCAUGGUGGAUGAGAGCAACCAUGUCUGGUUCUGGUUUUGGAGGUCCAUAGCCAGAAGACAUUCCCAUGCAACCAAGUCCUUGCUGAGACACCUCCAAGCCCUGUGAACCCAACUUCAUUCUUCCAACUUUAGCCAUUGUUGUAAUGUGAAGAUGAUGGUAGCACUAUGAUAUCAGUGGAAGAAGCUGAAUGAAGCUUUGUGAAUGUUAAUUGUCAAAUGACUAUAGCUGUGAAGCGUCAAAUGGCUGAGUAUAGUUAUUCUAAACAAGAAAGUAAAUAUAAUUUUAAUAAAAAAACUUGUCCCACUCCAAGCAGCCAUUAUAGAAUAUAGCAAUUAGAAAAAGAACCCCACAAGCCCACCCCCAUUUAACUAAUCAAAUGGUGGACCUCUUAUUUUCUUUAAAAAAUGUUAAUAGGACCUUUCACCUCAUAUAUUUACAUUGAAAAACUACUGGAUCUUGAAGAAAUAAAAUAACACAAAAUGAGUACUUACUUGUUAGUUAUAUUCAUCCACUUAUGACCAUAAAUUUUAAUAUUAAAAACAAAAUACAAAUCACUGAAUCAUUUAGAUAUGAAACUUUGCUUCCACCUUAGUCAAAGAUUAAUAGUAGAAGGCAUGCCAAUGCACUUUUGAUGUGCUUAAGUCUUUUGUUUAUUUAGACGGAGAAAUACACAAGACACACACAUGAAGUUAUCUGCAAUAGAGUUCAAACUUCAGAUCACUUAAUUAAUUGAAAGAACAAAUCAACAGCAAGAAAAUUAAACAGCUUUCCAAGAAGAGAGUGGUGGAGUAUCAGAGUUCUUCCAGGUACUUAGAUCGCCGGCGUAUCUAUCACCCUUGACUGCAUCCGCGGCAGCAAAGGACUCGAGUUCUGCCAUUUCUUGUGGUGCAAGUUUCACAGAUAAAGCAGCAAUGUUUUGGUUAAAAUUGUCAACUUUGGUGGUUCCAGGAAUGGGGCAGACAUCAUUUCCUUGGUGGUGAACCCAUGCCAAUGCAAGCUGAGAUGGAGUGCAUCCCUUCUUCGCCGCCAUUUCAUUAACCCUCUCAAAUAUAGUCUUGUUCUUCUCCAGAUUCUCAGGUUGGAAUCUAGGCAGAUUCUGUAACACACAUAAGAUUAACCAAGCUACUUUACUUGUUUAACUUUGUUGAUCGAGAAAACUGUAUUCUGUUUUAUGUGUUCAGUUAGUAAUCAUCAUUAUUAUAUGAUAAAAUGCUAAGUAUAUAACUAAAGGAAGAUCAAUACAGAAAAUAAUAGCGAGUUCAUGAUUAAAGUUUGAACUAAUGAAAAAUCGUAAAUAAUGCCAAGGUACACUUAAUUAUGAAAAUGCUCAAGUAAUUAGCACUAACUUGUGUUAACACAAACCUGUCUGAAGUCACCCUCAGAUAAAUUCUCAAGUAUCUUUGUUCCUGAUGAAAGGAAUCCUCUCCCAAGAGGACUAUAUGCAACAAUUCCAAUACCAAGUUCCCUGAGAAGUAUAAAAUUUAAAAGCCAUGAAAUUAAAUUGUGGAUCAUAUAUUUAUAUUGAUGAUAUAGGCUAUGAUAAUCCAAUCAUAUAGAUCAUAGUAACUUCUAUACAAUGUAUGCCAUUGGAUCAUCUUAGUGUUUCAAACAUCGAGUUAUUCGUUGUCUUAAACUGCACCUGCAAGUUGGAAUCACUUCUUCUUCAACAUCUCUUGACCAAAGAGACCAUUCUAACUGCACAGCUGAUAUGGGAUGAACAGCAUGUGCUCUUCUGAUUGUUGAAGCUGAAGCCUCGGAUAGACCAAUGUAUUUUAUUUUUCCCUCCUCAACAAGCUUCUUAAGCUCACCAAUCUUAACUUGAAAUUGAAGAAGUGAAAAAAAUUGAAGUAAUCACACAUAAAGUAGUCUAUUUUUUUACUUCAUGCUCUUAACAAUUAAAAUGUCAGUUCCAUAUAACAGAUUGCAUUUCCAUAAGAAUAUGAUAUUCAAUCUUGUUAACUGAUAGAGAAUUAUAGAAUAAAAUGGAAUACAAUGAAACAUUUAAACAUGUGUUCACCGAAGUAGUCCUAAAGAUUCAAGAUUAACUAAAUAAUAGUAUUAGCACAGAGAAAGAUUCAAACCGUUAUUUCGAUUGGAACACGUGUAUCAAUUCGAUGUUGGUAAUAGAGAUCUAUACAAUCAAUUUCAAGUCUCUUCAAGCUUCCCUCACAGGCAGCUCUCACAUAUGAUGGAUCACCACGGUUCUCAAACUUUUCAUCAUCAGAAAUGCUGAUACCAAAUUUGGUUGCCAAUUCAACCUUCCCUCUCACCCCUCCCUUCAAAGCCUGCUCAAAGUUCCAAACAUUUCAUCAUAAUAUCAUAUGCACAAGCCAAAACAAAAAUUAUGACAUAAUAAGAAAUGACAUUAUUCAUUUAUAAAAUUCAAACUUGAGAACUUGCUUAAGAAGAAUCCAUGAUCAAUAACAGAGAGAAAAGCAACACAAAAUCUUGAAAACACUCGGUAUUUUUUCACUUGGAUAAAAUCAACUGAACUGUUUAUAUCAACUUAUCUGUCUCCAAUUAAGUCCAAGGAUCAGAACAACCAAAAAAAAAAAAAUUGAAGAAAAGUCAAAAGGGUAGGUGAAUCAAAGCUCAAGUAGGAACCUUUCCAAUCAGAAUUUCAUUGGUGUGAGGACCAUAGACAUCAGAGGUAUCAAGGAAUGUGACACCACUUUGAACAGCAUGGUGAAUGAGAGCAACCAUGUCAGGUUCUGGCUUUGGAGGUCCAUAGUAAGCAGACAUUCCCAUGCAACCAAGUCCUUGCUGAGAUACCUCCAAACCUUGUGAUCCCAGUUUCAUUCUUCCAACUUUAGCCAUUGCUGUGUUGUGGUGAUGAUGUGCUUGCAAGUUGCAACUAUGAUCAGUGUUCGAAGAGUGAUGCAGAAGUUUUAUUUGGCUUCUUUGAAUGAAUGUUCUGAGCUAUGUGCCUACUCUUAUAAGUAGUUGAAAACUCCAUCAUGACAGCAAGGCAAAGAUUAUUAAUUAAUAUCAUAUUAUUAAUCAUUCACUUCAUUAGAAAUCAUUAUGACUAAUGAGGAUAAAUUUAUGACUAUCUCCAUGUUGAAAUAGUAUUUACAACACUUUUUAUGUACCAGUAUAUAUAUAUUUAAGGUUCCGAUUGUUGGAUACGUUUGUUCUUGAUUGGUAUAUUUCAAUACUUUUAUUUUUCAGUAGGUACAAAAUAAAAUAAAUUAUCUGUAAGAGAAUAUGCCCUAGGUCUUAAUUAUGUUGGUUUUCAUCUCUGAUAUAGUGAUAUGUCUUUAUCUUCUUAAAUGCAAUGAAGUUAAAUGGAUUUGGUAUUUGAUUAUCUCACUAAAGUUGAGGUUUUGGUGGGCUCAAUAAACUAGAUCAGCAUAAUAUAGUGCAAUUUAGGUAAUGCCAAAAGCACAGUGCUCCUCUUCCUUUUGAAUGCUUUUCUAAACAAAAACAAUACUAAACUAAAAAUAAAAUAAGGGGAGUGGAGGAAGUCAUAAUUCCUAUCACAAUAUCUGGUUCUGGUUUUGGAGGUCCAUAGCCAGAAGACAUUCCCAUGCAACCAAGUCCUUGCUGAGACACCUCCAAGCCCUGUGAACCCAGCUUCAUUCUUCCAACUUUAGCCAUUGUUGUCAUGUGAAGAUGAUGGUAGCACUAUGAUAUCAGUGGAAGAAGCAGAAUGAAGCUUUGUGAAUGUUAAUUGUCAAAUGACUAC
rnacentral:lncRNA from 1 species